UGGCUCCACCAACAGAGCAAAGCACACCCGAGAGAACCGGACAGUGUUUAGCCCACUUCUAGCUUAGUAACCUCUAUGAGAUUAUGCGAGCUAAGGCUGUUAGCCGUAUCCUAGCAAGGCGGCUAGUAGCAGCUGGAGACUUACAGCGAUCACGUUUACAAAUGUUGUUUUCCCCGAGUACUGCAGGCCGACCAGCGUCAACUCCAUCUCCUCCUUCCAAAACAGAGACUUGAUCCAGUCCAAAAGCCGGUUUAUUAGUGCCAGCAUCUUGAGGUCGGUGGUCAGCGCUCCCCUGAUGGUGGUACCUGUUUCGUCUCCCUCCCUGUCAGAUGUGCCGUUUUUCCAGUGGGGAAGGGAAGAGGGACAAAAGCAGCUGUCAUAUGACCGCUCAGCCAAAACGUGCUCAUCAGCGCCUCCGCAGGGACGCAGAGGAAGUGCACCCUUUGUGUAACGCCCACUGUUUGCGUUCUUUUUGUCAAUAAGAAGUUUUUAUGAACAGAAAAACAACAGUCACACGUUUAUUAUAGCAUAUCCCGGCCUGCACGUCACAGCAACACUACAACAACCAAUGCCACUGAAGAUCACAACUGUCACUGCCCUUGGAUCCAUCCUGGACAAACUGAAGCCCGCUCUCUUCCUUUGGUACUUUAUACAUGUGUAGGACAUGAACAGAAAGAGGCUGAGAGACAGCAAAAAGACACUAAUGCCAAGGAUCACAUGAAUGAAGUCUCCACCGUCUUUGGGCCCUGGUGAAAAGUCAAAUCAUAGUUAAGUUUCUUGUGCGCGUAUUCACCUGCAGCAUAUUGUCACUAUGUUCUGUUGUCGUGUAUCACAAGUGUUACGUGCUGAGCAAUCAACAAAUUACAGCCUGUGUCAA